GAGGAAUAUUGCGCAAUGGACGUAAGUCUGACGCAGCAACGCCGCGUGAGGGAUGAAGCACUAUGGUGUGUAAACCUCUGUAGAGAGGGAAGAAAGUUAUAUACUUAAAGGUAUGUAUUUGACGGUACCUCUAAAGUAAGCUCCGGCUAACUCCGUGCCAGCAGCCGCGGUAAUACGGGGGGAGCAAGCGUUGUCCGGAAUCACUGGGCGUAAAGGGCGUGUAGGCUGGUUGGUAAGUCAGAUGUGAAAGGCUGCGGCUUAACCGUAGAUGUGCAUUUGAUACUGCUGAUCUUGAGUGCGAGAGAGGGUAGUGGAAUUCCCAGUGUAGCGGUGAAAUGCGUAGAUAUUGGGAAGAACACCGGUAGCGAAGGCGGCUACCUGGCUCGUAACUGACGCUAAUGCGCGAAAGCGUGGGGAUCAAAC
rnacentral:rRNA from 1 species